rnacentral:lncRNA from 1 species
AGAGGAAGUAAAAGAGUUUAGAAAACAAGUGACGCACCUUUAUUUGAACAUGCAACGAAAGGGUGGUGAAGGGUUACGUAAUCCUCCGUCCGUCCAACAGCAGAACCGCGUCGGAGGAGUGGAAAAGAAAGACGAAAAACAGUAAAAGAAGAAAUAGAUUGAAGAUAAGCAUUAGGAUGAUAUGUGAGUGAGAGAUGCAACAAUGGAGCGUUCAAUUUACUGUCACUGGGGAUCAGAAGCC